UUUUAAACUGGUUUUAGACGAGUCUAUGAAUAAUCUCCAAGCAUUUGGUUCAUGCUCCAUUCCGAAAGCUUCGAACAGCGCAUCAAUAUCGUUGCAGUAAACAAGAUGAUUCUUAUCGUCCUUACUAAAAAAAGCUACAAGAUUAUCGUGUCGGUUUCGAAAAACAGUAAUUUUUGUUCCCUUUGCCAAGAGAUUCCAUUGCUGGAGACGCGAACCAAGAAGUUCAGCUUGUGAUUUUGAUAAACUUAGGUCUCGUACUAAAUCAUUUAAUUCUGGUUGAGUAAUUAGAUGGGGUUGCAGUACCUGGCUGUGAGGAC
rnacentral:misc_RNA from 1 species